GCCCGGGUGGCGAAAUUGGUAGACGCAGCAGACUUAAAAUCUGCCGACCUUUAGGUCAUGCCGGUUCGAUUCCGGCUCUGGGCACCA
rnacentral:tRNA from 1 species